rnacentral:rRNA from 1 species
UUGGAGGGCAAGUCUGGUGCCAGCAGCCGCGGUAAUUCCAGCUCCAAUAGCGUAUAUUAAAGUUGUUGCAGUUAAAAAGCUCGUAGUUGAACUUCAGACCUGACCGGGCGGUCCGCCUAACGGUGUGUACUGUCUGGCCGGGCCUUACCUCUUGGUGAGCCGGCAUGCCCUUCACUGGGUGUGUCGGGGAACCAGGACCUUUACCUUGAGAAAAUUAGAGUGUUCAAAGCAGGCUUACGCCGGUAAUACCAUUAGCAUGGAAUAAUAAAUAGGACGUGUCGG